UGGGAGAAAAAUGGAGACUUUAGUCUUAUAUGAUUUAACAGGAAUUAGGAGGAGACAGUGUUGAGAUUUUUAAUAACAUGUAACUUUCUGUAUGGAUCAUAGUAUUGAGGUUAAGUUACAUAUAAUAGCCUAUUUGGGUUCUGGGUAAU